AAGACAGAAACCUUGAAGUAGAAAAGAGACAGCUAUUGAUUUGGAAAAAUAAUCUAUCACUGAAUUAUAUAAAAUCACAAGUAGGUAGCAAAAACAAAUACUAGCUUCAGAGACAUGACAUUAAAUUAAAGCUCAGGAGGUUGAAAUCAAACAUUUUCCCUUUAACAAUGAGCAGUUAACCUUUAGAACAUUCUUCUCUGAGAAGAAAUAGUGACCAACAGUAUAAUCUACAUUAAAGGACUAGAUACAUUUAUCUGAAUAUAGUAACAUGAACAGCUGCCAAGAAACUGAAGGGGCACCUGCAAAGUGAGAAAUUGUGCCAUCCAGUUGCAAAUCCAGACUAAGCUUGAAGCAUUUUCACAUUCAGUGGACUGGCUAUGAAGAAGACACCUAUUCAGACAACGUUUCCUAAUGUGUACCUCCUAAAGUUAUACAUAGACCAAAAUAUACUAGCACAUCCUAUUUCAGAUGUUCAGUAUUGUUUACACUAAAGUCCUCUGAUCAACCAAACAUGCUUAUAUUAAAUAAAAG